GUAACUGUAGUUCAGUUGGUUAGAACGCCGGAUUGUGACUCCGGAGGUCGCAGGUUCGAGUCCCGUCAGUUGCCCCA
rnacentral:tRNA from 1 species